rnacentral:snRNA from 1 species
AGCUUUGUGCAGUGACAGUAUGGUAGCCAGUGAGGUUUAUCCAAGGUGUAAUUAUUGCUAAUUGAAAACUUUUCCCAAUACCCUGCCUUGACUACUUGAAAAGAGUCUCUCCUC